rnacentral:rRNA from 1 species
AUUCCAGCUCCAAUAGCGUAUAUUAAAGUUGUUGUGGUUAAAAAGCUCGUAGUUGGAUUUCGGCGGGUAUUGGUUGGUUUGAAUUGCUUCAACACUGACUUUUUUACCCGUGUGUUUUGCCAGAAUUUAGCGGGUGAUCUUCGCCGAUUGUCCGUUGGAACUGGUAGGUUUACUUUGAAAAAAUUAGAGUGCUCAAAGCAAGCUUACUGCUUGAAUAGUUGCGCAUGGAAUAAUAGAAUAGGAAGUCGUUUCUAUUUUGUUGGUUUUCGGAAAUCGACUUAAUGAUUAAUAGGGAUAGUCGGGGGCAUUCGUAUUCAAACGACAGAGGUGAAAUUCUUGGACCGUUUGAAGACGAACUAAGGCGAAAGCAUUUGCCAAGAAUGUUUUCAUCG